GUCCACGCAGUAACGAUGAAUACUAGCUGUAUGCGAUAUACUGUAUGUGGCAAAGCGAAGCGUUAAGUAUUCCACCUGGGAGUACGUUCGCAAGAAUGAAACUCAAAGGAAUUGACGGGGCCCGCACAAGCGGAGGAACAUGUGGUUUAAUUCGAUGAUACGCGAGGAACCUUACCCGGGCUUGAAAUGCAUCUGACCGAUCUGGAAACAGAUUUUCUAGCAAUAGCAGAUGUGUAGGUGCUGCAUGGUUGUCGU
rnacentral:rRNA from 1 species